rnacentral:rRNA from 1 species
GUGUCAGCAGCCGCGGUAAUACGAAGGGGGCUAGCGUUGUUCGGAAUUACUGGGCGUAAAGCGCGUGUAGGCGGGUCGUUAAGUCGGGGGUGAAAGCCCAGAGCUCAACUCUGGAACUGCCUUCGAUACUGGCGACCUGGACCCAAGUAGAGGCGAGUGGAAUUGCGAGUGUAGAGGUGAAAUUCGUAGAUAUUCGCAGGAACACCAGUGGCGAAGGCGACUCGCUGGACUUGUGGUGACGCUGAGACGCGAAAGCGUGGGUAGCAAACAGGAUUAGAAACCCUUGUAGUCC